rnacentral:pre_miRNA from 15 species
GGGCGCCAUUUCGAGCGGCUUUCAACGACGAUAUCAACCGACAACUCACACUUUUGCGUGUUGAUAUGUUGUUUGAAUGCCCCUUGAAUUGGAUGCCA